rnacentral:rRNA from 1 species
UGGGGAAUAUUGCACAAUGGGCGAAAGCCUGAUGCAGCAACGCCGCGUGAGUGAUGAAGGCCUUCGGGUUGUAAAGCUCUGUCUUCUGGGACGAUAAUGACGGUACCAGAGGAGGAAGCCACGGCUAACUACGUGCCAGCAGCCGCGGAAAUACGUAGGUGGCAAGCGUUGUCCGGAUUUACUGGGCGUAAAGGAUGCGUAGGCGGAUACUUAAGUCAGAUGUGAAAAUCCCGGGCUUAACUUGGGAACUGCAUUUGAAACUGGGUAUCUAGAGUGCGGGAGAGGAAAGUGGAAUUCCUAGUGUAGCGGUGAAAUGCGUAGAGAUUAGGAAGAACACCAGUGGCGAAGGCGACUUUCUGGACCGUAACUGACGCUGAGGCAUGAAAGCGUGGGGAGCAAACA